rnacentral:misc_RNA from 1 species
UUAUACAGAGCGUAUGUCUGCUCAAAAUUCAGUUUCAGAAGGAAAUUCCGAAAUAUAGAUGUGCGGGCCCUGUGCAACGAGACCCCGUGAACCAUGUCAGGCGGGAGACCGAGCAGCAUUAAGCGGAUCGUUUUGUGUGCCGCAGCAAGCCUGCACAUCUAUGUUCCGGAAUUUUUUUAAAGCGGAGGAUAUAA